ACGGGAGGCAGCAGUGAGGAAUAUUGGUCAAUGGGCGGAAGCCUGAACCAGCCAAGUAGCGUGCAGGAUGACGGCCCUAUGGGUUGUAAACUGCUUUUGUCAGGGAAUAAAAAGGAAUACGUGUAUUCCAUUGCAUGUACCUGAGGAAUAAGGACCGGCUAAUUACGUGCCAGCAGCCGCGGUAAUGCGGAAGGUCCGGGCGUUAUCCGGAUUUAUUGGGUUUAAAGGGAGCGCAGGCGGCCUUUUAAGCGUGUUGUGAAAUGUAGUGGCUCAACCUCUGCACUGCAGCGCGAACUGGAGGGCUUGAGUACGCGGGAAGUAGGCGGAAUUCGUCGUGUAGCGGUGAAAUGCUUAGAUAUGACGAAGAACUCCGAUUGCGAAAGCAGCCUACUGUAGCGUUACUGACGCUAAAGCUCGAAAGUGUGGGUAUCGAACAGGAUUAGAUACCCUGGUA
rnacentral:rRNA from 1 species